UACGAAGGGGGCUAGCGUUGCUCGGAAUCACUGGGCGUAAAGGGUGCGUAGGCGGGUCUUUAAGUCAGGGGUGAAAUCCUGGAGCUCAACUCCAGAACUGCCUUUGAUACUGAGGAUCUUGAGUUCGGGAGAGGUGAGUGGAACUGCGAGUGUAGAGGUGAAAUUCGUAGAGAUUGGGAAGAACACCGGUGGCGAAGGCGGCCAACUGGACUGGUAUUGACGCUGAGGCGCGAAAGCGUGGGGAUCAAACAGG
rnacentral:rRNA from 1 species